AUCCACCUACGGGACGCAGCAGUGAGGAAUAUUGGUCAAUGGGCGCGAGCCUGAACCAGCCAAGUCGCGUGAGGGAGGACGGCCCUACGGGUUGUAAACCUCUUUUGUCGGGGAACAAAGGCGCCCACGGGUGGGCGGAUGAGUGUACCCGAAGAAAAAGCAUCGGCUAACUCCGUGCCAGCAGCCGCGGUAAUACGGAGGAUGCGAGCGUUAUCCGGAUUUAUUGGGUUUAAAGGGUGCGUAGGCGGACAGUCAAGUCAGCGGUAAAAAUGCGGUGCUCAACGCCGUACAGCCGUUGAAACUGG
rnacentral:rRNA from 1 species